CAAUAGCGUAUAUUAAAGUUGUUGCAGUUAAAAAGUUCGUAGUUGGAUUUGGGGGCAGCCCGAGCGGUCCGCCGAGAGGCGAGUACUGUCCGGGCGCCCUUCCUCUCGGAGGCCCCGUCUGCUCUUUACUGCAGUGGGCGGGAGAUUCGGGACGUUUACUUUGAACAAAUUAGAGUGUUCCAAGCAGGCCGGUGCUUGAAUACAUUAGCAUGGAAUAAUGGAAUAGGACGCCGGUCCUAUUUUGUUGGUUUUCGGGUCCGGUGUCAUGGUUAAUAGGGACAGUUGGGGGCAUUCGUAUUCAAUUGUCAGAGGUGAAAUUCUUAGAUUUAUGGAAGACGAACUACUGCGAAAGCAUUUGCCAAGGAUGUUUUCGUUAA
rnacentral:rRNA from 1 species